GUGCUAGUUUUGGCAGUGCACAUAAAAAAAAAAUCGGAAUGACAGAGAUUACCCUGGCCCCUGCACAAAGGUGACAACCAAAUUCAUGAUGUUCCUGUAUUUAU
rnacentral:snRNA from 1 species